rnacentral:lncRNA from 1 species
CCAUCAAGUUGGGUGUUACUGAAAUGAUAAUUAGAAAGAAGACAGGAGAAAGAAGAAAUUAUAUGCUAUAAUACGUUGCUAUGGAAACAAUGAUCUUAGAAUGACUGGCUGUUCAUUGUUUAUUUUUUCCCCCCAACUUAACCAAAAUGUUUCAUUUAAAUUUUCCGUAAACUUAGUCUAAAUUAUUAUCUUGUCAAAAUUUGAGAUCUCAGUAUGCUAUCAAAGAUACAGCAGAUAACCUCAAAACAUGGUUUAAAUUUUAAGGUGUGAGAAUAAAAGUGAGAACGAUUUCACUUUGAACAUGAAAGCUGAAAGGAUCUUUCAGAUUGGUGACACUAGACAUUCGAGGAAAUCAAGUGCUUGUGAGUUAAAGAAGUCAAAUUUCAGUGAGAAAUUUGACCAAAAUGCUACUAAAAAUGGCAGGGGGGAUAGUGCACAGAUCAUUCCUGCAAAGGAAUCGGGAACUGUUCGGCACAAGGAGAAGAGAAGGAGGGAAGGCUUCAGGAGAGGGGAGAGGAGGGAUGAUGCAAGUGUGAAAGUGGUUCCUCUUCAUAUCAAUGAUGUGAUAGACGCCUUGAAAUACUGUCAAAAAGGCUCUUUGACUGCUGUUAGGCAGAAUUACAGCAGGCGGAAACUAGGAAAAUUCAGUGUAGAAAAAAUUUCUGGGAAGCAUAGGAGAUUUCACAACCAAGAAGAAAUGUCAGAAAUUGAUGGUCAAUUCAACGGGGAUGCUGAGAGCUUGGUCAGUGAUUUUGUCCAAGAACUGAACAUAAGAUACAUUAGAAAAUGUGAAUCUGAAGUAAGGAAACGCAAAAUUAAGUGCAGGAAAACGUUCGGAUGCCAACAGCCAAAAAAGUGGCCCAAGUAUAAAGAAAAAAAAUUAUGCGAGAGAAAUACUAGGGUCAGUCAAACAGCUGGAAAGAGGAUAGGGAUUUGA